CCAGCAGCUCAACUGYUGGCUUGCAGGCGAUACKGGCAGACUUGAGUACUGYWGGGGAGACUGGAAUUCCUGGUGUAGCGGUGAAAUGCGCAGAUAUCASGAGGAACACCGGUGGCGAAGGCGGGUCUCUGGGCAGUAACUGACGCUGAGGAACGAAAGCGUGGGUAGCGAACAGGAUUAGAUACCCUGGUAGUCCACGCCGUAAACGGUGGGCGCUAGGUGUGGGUUCCUUCC
rnacentral:rRNA from 1 species